rnacentral:rRNA from 1 species
UGGGGAAUAUUGCACAAUGGGGGAAACCCUGAUGCAGCGACGCCGCGUGAGCGAAGAAGGUUUUCGAAUCGUAAAGCUCUGUCCUAUGAGAAGAUAAUGACGGUAUCAUAGGAGGAAGCCCCGGCUAAAUACGUGCCAGCAGCCGCGGUAAUACGUAUGGGGCGAGCGUUGUCCGGAAUUAUUGGGCGUAAAGGGUACGUAGGCGGUCUAUUAAGUCAGGUGUGAAAGCGUGAGGCUUAACCCCAUUAAGCACUUGAAACUGAUAGACUUGAGUGAAGGAGAGGAAAGUGGAAUUCCUAGUGUAGCGGUGAAAUGCGUAGAUAUUAGGAGGAAUACUGGUGGCGAAGGCGACUUUCUGGACUUUUACUGACGCUCAGGUACGAAAGCGUGGGGAGCAAACAGG